UUAAACCAAGCCAAUUUUUUUUUUUAUAUAUACAAAAAAUGAUAAUUUUUUGAGGACUUUUGCUUAUGAUUCUUGUCUCUUUAUUUAUUUAUUUUUUGGGUAAAAAAAAUCAAUCUUGUUGUUUUUUUUUGUUUGUAGGUGUACUUGCUGUGUCCACCAUGUGUUCAUACUUGAAUGACAUACAAACUAUCUUAAAUCCAACCAUGUACUUAUGUUUGAUGACAAUUUCAUGAAAAGCCUUUUUCAAAAAAAAAAAAAAGUACCCUCUAUAGGUUUUGAUGACAAUUUCAUGAAAACCCUUUUUCAAAAAAAAAAAAAAAAAAAUCCUCUAGAGCUUUUAAAUUAAAACUUUUAAUGACAGUGUUGGUUGCAUGUUUUCUUGAUCUGUUUUUGAACCAAGGUCGUGACUCUGCUGCUGAUGGAAUUUUUCUUCUGGUUUACAUGUAUCAAGGGUUUGAGUUCCUUGUUGACUCAAUUCACGUUUCCAGAUCAGCUAAUAUGAUAAGACUCUCGCCAUUGGUUUUUCUCCUGCUUUUUUUUUUGUACCUGAAGAUAGCUGUGUUGUGAUGGGUUCCUUCUUGAGGUUUGCUGAGAUCUCGGGUUUUCUUGAUGCAAUGUGUGGCUUUUUGUUGCCUUCUCUGGCAUGUUACCUGGAUGUUGUUGCCUUACGGACCAACCUUGCUUUUUUUUUUUUUUUUUUUCUUGUCUAAUGAUAUAUAAGAGAUCCACACAGAACACUAAUCUUUACACAUGUGGAACAAUAAUCAUUCAACACGUUGGUAAAUUGUGUGAUCUAGAGAGCGUAAUAAUCCUUUAGUUAGGAUCCUAGUGGGUGACAUUCAGUGAUUAAAAACAGUCUACAGAGCCAUACUACUAGUUAUUUUCGCAUUAGCUUCUGUUUUGUAACAUUACCCACUAAUGAAAGUGGAUGUUCAAGAAGAAUCUAAUGACAUGCAUCUGUUGGAAAAAGACACUUUUGUUUGUUUGUCAUUGGUGUUCCUUGUGUCCAUUUUUUUCUGCCCUUCUUUAGCAGCACAGGAAAAAGAUGAUGGAAUCUGGUGAAGUGGAUGGAUUCCUUAGCUCGUGGGUUUUAAAAUUCCUUGGAGAAAACUUCAAAUGGUAACAAUAUUCCAUUCACAAAUUAGGUAAGAAAAGGAGAAUCUUGUUCUUUAGGAUCAACACUUGUGAUCUUUUCUUAGAUUCCCCCACACUGGAGGGGUGGUAAAACAUGCGAAAAUAGUGUUAUUCUCCUAAUGGUGAUGCUAAAUAGAAUGAUGUAAUAUCACUUCCCAGAGUUUGAUUCUAAUAUGUGAGCUUGUUUGUUUUAAGGUCUACUAAUGUUGCUUACUUACUAUACACAUGAUGUGAAAAUAAUAUUUGUAAAUGCUAUGGAGCUUGUGAUCUGGUGUGUUUUUCCUC
rnacentral:lncRNA from 1 species